GACGAACGCUGGCGGCGUGCUUAACACAUGCAAGUCGAACGGAAAGGCCCUGCUUUUGUGGGGUGCUCGAGUGGCGAACGGGUGAGUAACACGUGAGUAACCUGCCCUUGACUUUGGGAUAACUUCAGGAACCUGGGGCUAAUACCGGAUAGGAGCUCCUGCUGCAUGGUGGGGGUUGGAAAGUUUCGGCGGUUGGGGAUGGACUCGCGGCUUAUCAGCUUGUUGGUGGGGUAGUGGCUUACCAAGGCUUUGACGGGUAGCCGGCCUGAGAGGGUGACCGGCCACAUUGGGACUGAGAUACGGCCCAGACUCCUACGGGAGGCAGCAGUGGGGAAUAUUGCACAAUGGGCGGAAGCCUGAUGCAGCAACGCCGCGUGCGGGAUGACGGCCUUCGUGUUGUAAACCGCUUUCGCCUGUGACGAAGCGUGAGUGACGGUAAUGGGUAAAGAAGCACCGGCUAACUACGUG
rnacentral:rRNA from 1 species